AUCCAGAGGGUUUUUUGUUUUUCAUGGAAUAGAACACCAUAGUAUUAAUCAAAUUAAUUAAGCAAGUACCAGUCAAAAGUUUGGACGCACCUACUCAUUCCAGGAUUUUUCUAUAUUUGUAUUAUUUUCUACAUUGUAGAAUAAUAGUGAAGACAACACAACUAUGAAAUAACACAUAUGGAAUCAGUUAAGAACAAAUUCUUAUUUACAAGGACAGCCUACUCCUUCCUCCCGUCAGGGGAUUGGACACAGGGACUCUUUAGCUCAAUAGCCCAGCACUGUACUGCCGACAGUCACGUUGUACAGCGCCAUAUUUUCUGUUCCAUCCUAACGGAAACCCAGAGGGUUUUUCGUUUUUUUUCUUGGAAUAGAAACACCAGAAUAUUAAUCAAAUUAAUUAAGCAAGUACCAGUCAAAAGUUUGGACACACCUACUCAUUCUUGUACUUUUCUUUAUUUUUACUAUUUUCUACAUUGUAGAAUAAUAGUGAAGACAUCACAACUAUGAAAUAACACAUGGAAUCAGUUAAGAACAAAUUCUCAUUUACAAGGACAGCCUACUCAUUUCUUCCCGUCGGAGAAUUGAACCCCAGUCUCCCGCAUGCACACCCCGUCUCUGGUAAUAACAAUAUGGAAGACUAGGUUGGCGCCCCCCCCCCUUGGGUUGUGUCGUGGGGGAGAUCUUCGUGGGCUAUACUUGGCCUUGUCUCAGGAUGGUAAGUUGGUGGUUGAAGAUAUUUUACAUUUACAUUUUAGUGAUUUAGCAGACGCUCUUAUCCAGAGCGACUUACAAUAGUGAAUGCAUACAUUUCAUUAAAAGAAAUUCUCUCCCCGUACUGGUCCCCCAUGGGAAUCGAACCCACAAUCCUGGCGUUGCAAACACCAUGCUCUACCAUGCUCUACCAAAUGAGCCACAUGGGACCCUCUAGUGGUGUGGGGGCUGUGCUUUGGCAAAGUGGGUGGGGUUAUAGCCUGCCUGUUUGGCCCUGUCCGGGGGUACCGUCGGACGGGGCCACAGUGUCUCCCAACCCGUCCUGUCUCAGCCUCCAGUAUUUAUGCUGCAAUAGUUUAUGUGUCGGGGGCUAGGGUCAGUCUGUUAUAUCUGGAGUAUUUCUCCUGUCUUAUCCAGUGUCCUGUGUUAAUUUAAGCAUGCUCUCUCUAAUUCUCUCUCUUUUUCUCUCUCUUUCUUUCUUUCAUUCUUUCUCUCUCUCGGAGGACCUGAGCCCUAGGAUCAUGCCUCAGGACUACCUGGCCUGAUGACUCUUUGCUGUCCCCAGUCCACCUGGUCAUGCUGCUGCUCCAGUUUCAACUGUUCUGCCUGCGGCUAUGGAACCCUGACCUGUUCACCGGACGUGAAAAGCCAACUGACAUUUACUCCUGAGGUGCUGACCUGUUGCACCCUCUACAACCACUGUGAUUAUUAUUAUUUUACCCUGCUGGUCAUCUAUGAACAUUUGAACAUCUUGGCCAUGUUCUGUUAUAAUCUCCACCCGCUACAGCCAGAAGAGGACUGGCCACCCCUCAUAGCCUGGUUCCUCUCUAGGUUUCUUCCUAAGUUCCGGCCUUUCUAGGGAGUUUAUCCUAGCCACCGUGCUUCUACAUCUGCAUUGCUUGCUGUUUGGGGUUUUAGGCUGGGUUUCUGUACAGCACCUUGUGACAUCAGCUGAUGUAAGAAGGGCUUUAUAAAUACAUUUGAUUGAUUGAUUGAUUGAUUGACUAUCAAAUGCUUCUCAAAGAUGCUCUCUGGUGGUCAAACUAGCACCAACUUGCAUUAACAGAAAAAAUGGCUGACAAUUAAAUGAAGUGCCACAGAAUGCUGCGGUAGCCCGCAAGGUGUGCCGUAGUAUUACGCAACUUUUAAAGGAGGAACCACUGUAUGUCAUUCCGAACAUAGGAGUUAAGGGUGAGACUGAUUUUCUUAAACACAACCUCGAAUUGGUGAAAGUUAACUUUAAAAAAAAUCCUGUUCUAGGAAUAGGUCAUGCGUGUUAGAGAUACCAGGACAAGUCCUGAUGAAAGCAAUUCAAGAAUAAGAUCCAGAGGUAUUAUAGAGAUACCAGGACAAAAGGCCUGAAGUAAUAUUCCAUAGGUUACGAUCGUAAGAUGUAGAUGCAUGAGCUAUAUUAAGAGAUAACAGGACAAGGUCCUGUUGAAAGUGUUCCAGGACUUGGUCCUGAAGAAUUAAAAAUGAUUCCUGCAGGUUAGAAAAACAUUGUAAAAAACAAUGAAUUAGUCAGUGUACUGGUAAAACAGUUGGUUAUAUUUGGGAAACCAGCUAUAAAUUUAAAUCCUACACGGAAAUGUGCAUAGGAACUACCAUGUGGGUACAACAUUUAAAAUUACAUUGAGUAAUGAAAAAAUAUUUUGAUGAAGAAGAAAUUACUAUUUUUAAAUUAUAAGAAAGGAAGAUGUUCCUAACCAAAUACUGUUUGUUUUGUUUUGUGUGUUUGUUUUUGUUUCCUGAGUGUGUGUGUAUUGACAAAAUAUUUAUAUUAUGUACAGACGAUGGACCCUAAUUUUGGUAAUAUGUGUUGUCAACAAUAGUGAUAUGUGAAGCAUGAUACUGGUAUAAGACAUUAGGUCUCCAAUAUUCUCAAGUAGUAAAUUGGCAGACGCUUCAGUAUUGGUUCUAUUAAAAGGCAGAAAUACCAUAACUACUCUCCGGGUAAGUGGGUAUCACUACCUUGGAAAAUUGUUAACAUUGGCUUAUAUUAAAACCAUGAGUGAGGAAAUCUGAAACUCUGGACACCAUUGAGAGAGGCGCAGAAAUAACUAUUGUAGAAGAGGUAAACUAUAGCAAAGCCACAGAGUCACUAAAAGAAGCGCAAGAGCAUUCUACCAAUUCGGCUCGAAUAUGGGAAAAAAAUCUAAUCAUGGAUAAAAUUGAGCAGCAUUUCCCUGCUGAUGGAAAAUUCCAAUCUAAUAAAGUAUUCAGAGAUGCUAUUGUGAAUUGGUACAAUUAUAUAAAAGGAAAAUCAGAAGCUCAAUACACCAGCAUUUUGAUGUUAGCGUUCUAUCAACAAAAAAAG
rnacentral:lncRNA from 1 species